UACGUAGGGUGCGAGCGUUGUCCGGAAUUACUGGGCGUAAAGAGCUCGUAGGUGGUUUGUCGCGUUGUCCGUGAAAACUCACAGCUUAACUGUGGGCGUGCGGGCGAUACGGGCAGACUGGAGUACUGCAGGGGAGACUGGAAUUCCUGGUGUAGCGGUGGAAUGCGCAGAUAUCGAGAGGAACACCUGCGGCGAAGGCGGGUUGCUGGGCUGAUACUGACGCUGAUGCGCGAAAGCCAGGGGAGCGAACGGG
rnacentral:rRNA from 1 species